rnacentral:rRNA from 1 species
UACGUAGGGGGCAAGCGUUAUCCGGAUUUAUUGGGCGUAAAGCGCGCGUAGGCGGUUUGUUAAGUCAGAUGUGAAAACCGGAGGCUCAACCUGCGGCCUGCAUCUGAAACUGGCAGACUUGAGUCUGGUAGAGGGAAAUGGAAUUCCCAGUGUAGCGGUGAAGUGCGCAGAUAUUGGGAGGAACACCAGUGGCGAAGGCGGUUUCCUGGGCCACGACUGACGCUGAGGCGCGAAAGCUAGGGGAGCGAACAGG